rnacentral:pre_miRNA from 1 species
CAAAGUGCUAUUCGUGCAGGUAGUGUGAAAACUUACUCUACUGCAAAAGCAGCACUUAAAGA